rnacentral:rRNA from 1 species
GAUGAACGCUGGCGGCGUGCUUAACACAUGCAAGUCGAACGUGAAGCCUAGUACCUAGUAUUGGGUGGAAAGUGGCGAACGGGUGAGUAACACGUUGGUGACCUGUCCCGAGGAGGGGAAUAACCGUGGGAAACCACGGCUAAUGCCCCGGAUGUCUGGGUUGUUAGAGAGCCCAGGCCAAAGCUCCGGCGCCUUGGGAGGGGCCUGCGGGCUAUCAGCUUGUUGGUGGGGUAACGGCCUACCAAGGCUAAGACGGCUAGGGGGCGUGAGAGCGCGACCCCCCACAAUGGAACUGAGACACGGUCCAUACUCCUACGGGAGGCAGCAGUGAGGAAUAUUGCGCAAUGGGGGCAACCCUGACGCAGCAACGCCGCGUGGACGAUGAAGGCCUUCGGGUUGUAAAGUCCCUUUUUGGGGGACGAUAAUGACGGUACUCCAAGAAUAAGUCCCGGCUAACUACGUGCCAGCAGCCGCGGUAAAACGUAGGGGGCGAGCGUUAUCCGGAUUUACUGGGCGUAAAGCGCACGUAGGCGGUGCCGUAUGUAGGACGUCAAAGCUCUCGGCUUAAUCUGGGAGAGGUCGUUCAA